rnacentral:rRNA from 1 species
AACGAACGCUGGCGGCAUGCCUAACACAUGCAAGUCGAACGAGACCUUCGGGUCUAGUGGCGCACGGGUGCGUAACGCGUGGGAACCUGCCCUUAGGUUCGGAAUAACGCCCCGAAAGGGGUGCUAAUACCGGAUAAUGUCUUCGGACCAAAGAUUUAUCGCCUUUGGAUGGGCCCGCGUUGGAUUAGCUAGUUGGUAGGGUAAAAGCCUACCAAGGCGACGAUCCAUAGCUGGUCUGAGAGGAUGAUCAGCCACACUGGGACUGAGAGACGGCCCAGACUCCUGCGGGAGGCAGCAGUGGGGAAUAUUGGACAAUGGGCGAAAGCCUGAUCCAGCAAGGCCGCGUGAGUGAUGAAGGUCUUAGGGAUGUAAAGCUCUUUUAACCGGGAGGAUAAUGACAGUACCGGAAGAAUAAGCACCGGCUAACUACGUG